UAAGCGGAGGGAAAGAAACUAACAAGGAUUGCCUUAGUAGCGGCGAGUGAACCGGCAAAAGCUCAAAAUGUAAAUCCAGCCCGUAGAGGGUCGGAAUUGUAAUCUAGAGACCUGAGGCGAAGUCAUGAGCAGCUUAUAAGUUUCUUGGAACAGAACGCCAGAGAGGGUGAUAGCCCCGUACUAAGCUGGGACUGGGCGUAGCUGAGGAGUCUAAGAGUCGGCUUGUUUGGGACUGCUGGCCUAAUUGGGAGAUAAACUUCUUCUAAAGCUAAAUAUUUAUGGGAAACCGAUAGCGAACAAGUACUACGAAGGAAAGAUGAAAAGAACUUUGAAAAGAGGGUCAAAAGACUUGAAAUCGUUGAGUCGGAAGCUGAUGAAGGGCAAUCAUUUAUGCUCGAUGUUUGGGUGUAUUGGCCGGUCGCCGGGUGUGCAGGUACUUAAUCGGGCUUGCUUCACGGCCGAUAACGGACGAUUGCUCAUUUUUCGAGGAUAAGAGGCAGGAUGGGUUUUUGCAUCUGGAAUAAAGUUGUGAGUUGCCCGGGGGUUUACCCCCUAGCUCGCGUCCGAAACAGAUGCGGAGACUGAGGAUCCGGUAGGAGAUUCUGCCAAGAUGACUUCUACCGACCCGUCUUGAAACACGGACCAAGGAGUCUAAC
rnacentral:rRNA from 1 species